AUGCCUAGGUCACCGCCUCUAUCUCCACUUCGUCCGUUCCUGCAUACGUUUUGUACGGCUUUGGUAGUCAGCCCGCCGGAGCCCAAGAAUAAGGACAGGGACAUCGGUCUCGCCUGCGUCGUCGUCAAGCGCAAGCUCCUGGUGGAUGCUCUGCGCCGUCCUUGGCGCCUUCGUCCUCAUCGAUAUCUCUACCAUCAUCAGCCUACUCCAUGGCCUGCCAUCAGACAAGUACAUCCACGCUCUCAAGAAGGUGCUCCAAUUCUUCAACCGCAGAAAUACAAAGGAGCCGCCAAAAAAAUGCUGGAACUGGGGGCAAGAGUACCAGAACGGGCAGCAAGUGAGGUGUACACAGCAGGCAAGGAUGGCGACUCAAUGUGGCGAGGCUCCCUGGAUGAUGACUGCAACACCUUCUUUCUGCUGCUGUUCUAA
rnacentral:rRNA from 1 species